rnacentral:rRNA from 1 species
UGGGUGAAUAUUGCACAAUGGGACGCAAGCCUCGAUGCACGCUCGAUGAACCGCGUGUCGUGAAGAAGGCCUUCGGGUUGUAAAGCACUUUCAGUCGUGAGGAAGGUAGUGUAGUUAAUAGGCUGCAUUAUGUUGACGUUAGCGACAGAAGAAGCACACGGCUAAGC